UACGUAGGGUGCGAGCGUUAAUCGGAAUUACUGGGCGUAAAGCGUGCGCAGGCGGUUUUGUAAGCCAGAUGUGAAAGCCCCGGGCUCAACCUGGGAAUUGCGAUGAAGACUGCAAGGCUUGAAUCUGGCAGAGGGGGGGUAGAAUUCCACGUGUAGCAGUGAAAAUGCGUAGAGAUGUGGAGGAACACCGAUGGCGAAGGCAGCCCCCUGGGUCAAGAUUGACGCUCAUGCACGAAAGCGUGGGGAGCAAACAGG
rnacentral:rRNA from 1 species